CACGUAGGGUGCAAGCGUUGUCCGGAAUUAUUGGGCGUAAAGGGCUCGUAGGCGGUUCGGUAAGUCGGGUGUGAAACCUCCAGGCUCAACCUGGAGACGCCACCCGAUACUGCUGUGACUAGAGUCCGGUAGGGGAGCGUGGAAUUCCUGGUGUAGCGGUGAAAUGCGCAGAUAUCAGGAGGAACACCAGCGGCGAAGGCGGCGAUCUGGGCCGAAACUGACGCUGAGGAGCGAAAGUGUGGGGAGCGAACAGG
rnacentral:rRNA from 1 species